CGGGUCUCGGGUAACACCCCAUGAUACAUGUUUUCAAGGGGUGGGACCCGAGACUCGAAUCCGCGUCCUCCAGAGUGGAAGGCCGAAGCGUUUCCACGCGGCCAAUCCGGCCGACCUAACAAAGAACUUGUGUCGAUGGCCGAGCGUAUUCGGCCUUUCCGUUUCCGGAAAUAUAAACUUAAUAAUUCGAUCGAAGCGAAAGACCGGACUGGAAAUGCACUCCGACGAAUCUAUUUAAGAGGAAAUAACGAAAUUUUUAGUCGCGCUCUAAGUGCAGAGAACGUGACUUUAUAAAAUAAAUAGCGAAAAGCCGUCAUAAAUUUCUAUUCGGGAACUAGGUAUUUUCUGGAAUUUUUUACGGCCCUUUCGAAUCGAAUAUUACUAAAGUUGUUGCCAAUUCUAACCAUAGGCUUCACCCAUACUGAUGGAGGGGAUCCGGAUGGAGAAAGACGGAAAUGGCCAGUCUGGGCCUAAAACCCCGGAAAAGCUUUUUCGAGACAUGCAGGAUCGAGUCCUCCUGCGUAGCAGGCCAAACCGUUACCAUCGUCGGCCGGAUUGGCCGCCUGGGGGCGCUUCGGCUUUCCACUCUGGAUUAACCGGAUUCGAGUCUGGGGUCCCACCCCUCGAAAAUGUUUAUGGUGGGGUCUGGGCCC
rnacentral:lncRNA from 1 species